GAAAUGCGAUAAGUAAUGUGAAUUGCAGAAUUCAGUGAAUCAUCGAAUCUUUGAACGCACAUUGCGCCCGCCAGUAUUCUGGCGGGCAUGCCUGUCCGAGCGUCAUUUCAACCAUCAAGUCCCCGGGCUUGUGUUGGGGACCUGCGGCUGCCGCAGGCCCUGAAAAGCAGUGGCGGGCUCGCUGUCACCGGGCGUAGUAGAUCUCAUCUCGCCCAGGGCGUGCUGCGGGUUCCGGCCGUUAAAAGACCCCCCGUCUUACCCAAGGUUGACCUCGGAUCAGGUAGGAAGACCCGCUGAACUUAAGC
rnacentral:misc_RNA from 1 species